rnacentral:rRNA from 1 species
AGCGAACGCUGGCGGCGUGCUUAACACAUGCAAGUCGAACGUGAAAGGGAGCAAUCCCAAGUAAAGUGGCGUACGGGUGAAUAACGCGUAGGUAAUCUACCCCAAAAUCUGAAUAACUUGCCGAAAGGCGGGCUAAUACUGGAUAGAGCGAUGGAGUCCGUAAUUGGGUUUUUCGGGAAAGGGAGGCAGCAAUGCCCCUCGUUUUGGGAUGAGCCUGCGUCUCAUUAGCUAGUUGGCGAGGUAAUAGCUCACCAAGGCUUUGAUGGGUAGCUGGUCUGAGAGGAUGAUCAGCCACACUGGAACUGAGACACGGUCCAGACUCCUACGGGAGGCAGCAGUGGGGAAUCUUGCGCAAUGGACGAAAGUCUGACGCAGCCACGCCGCGUGAGUGAAGAAGGCCUUCGGGUUGUAAAGCUCUGUCGGGCGGGACGAAAAUGCAUUAAGUGAAUAGCUUAGUGUACUGACGGUACCGCCAAAGGAAGCACCGGCUAACUCCGUGCCAGCAGCCGCGGUAA